GCAAGAGUAGUGUCACGUCAAUUCAACCGGAAAUUACGUACUGUCCUACGUUGUCCACGUAGCUGGUAAAAUUAGUGUCAGCGCUGAGUUUUACUCAUUUGUACGGUAGUUUUGAAAGGAACUUCGCACCGGGAACAACGUGAGUGAACUAAAAAAAUAAUAUCAUGGGUUAUUUUUUAUUAUGUUAUUCGAAUUCCUGUACCUAAAUACUACGUAUAGGACUUACUUAGAGGGAUAACCUUAAAUUUGAAUAAUAUAUCUUUUACAAACCUCUGUACAAAUAAUGUUUAUUCCAUAUGCGAAACUCUAUUGAGAAUGGAUCAAGUUACAAAAUUAGUCGAACCUGGCCGGCAAUUUGCCAAAGACAGCAUCCGUCUUGUCAAAAGAUGCACAAAACCAGACCGCAAAGAGUUCCAAAAGAUAGCGAUUGCUACUGCCAUUGGAUUCUGUAUUAUGGGUUUCAUCGGUUUCUUUGUGAAACUAAUCCACAUUCCCAUCAACAAUAUCAUAGUAGGCUCAUAAGGCUAGGAGACAAUUGUACGUUCUAAUUUUUAAGGUCCGUUAAAAUUAAUUUCCUCUCCCUGCGCUCUUUAAUUUAU
rnacentral:misc_RNA from 1 species